UUGAUUGAUUCAAUCGUGACUCAGACUACAAAGAUACAGAGUUUGGGGUCCACCGGGGGCCCCGACACCCCGAAGGGCCGGGUCGCCCCCGAGGCAACUGGGUCGGAUAACAUGGGGUUGGAGGUCGGGCCGGAGCCCUCACUCGGUAAUGAUCCCUCCGCAGGUUCACCUACGGAGA
rnacentral:misc_RNA from 1 species